UGAGUGUCUGAAGAGAGUGGCUCAUC
rnacentral:piRNA from 1 species